GAAAGCAAUAGAAGGGCUAGCUCAGAAUGAAGAUCCUACAGAAGAUGACUGGUAUGAGAUGAGAAAAA
rnacentral:sRNA from 1 species